rnacentral:rRNA from 1 species
AAAGCAGAUCGCAUGAUCAGCUUUUAAAAGGCGGCGUAAGCUGUCGCUAUGGGAUGGCCCCGCGGUGCAUUAGCUAGUUGGUAAGGUAAAGGCUUACCAAGGCGAUGAUGCAUAGCCGAGUUGAGAGACUGAUCGGCCACAUUGGGACUGAGACACGGCCCAAACUCCUACGGGAGGCAGCAGUAGGGAAUCUUCCACAAUGGACGCAAGUCUGAUGGAGCAACGCCGCGUGAGUGAAGAAGGUUUUCGGAUCGUAAAGCUCUGUUGUUGGUGAAGAAGGAUAGAGGUAGUAACUGGCCUUUAUUUGACGGUAAUCAACCAGAAAGUCACGGCUAACUACGUGCCAGCAGCCGCGGUAAUACGUAGGUGGCAAGCGUUGUCCGGAUUUAUUGGGCGUAAAGCGAGCGCAGGCGGAAGAAUAAGUCUGAUGUGAAAGCCCUCGGCUUAACCGAGGAACUGCAUCGGAAACUGUUUUUCUUGAGUGCAGAAGAGGAGAGUGGAACUCCAUGUGUAGCGGUGGAAUGCGUAGAUAUAUGGAAGAACACCAGUGGCGAAGGCGGCUCUCUGGUCUGCAACUGACGCUGAGGCUCGAAAGCAUGGGUAGCGAACAGGAUUAGAUACCCUGGUAGUCCAUGCCGUAAACGAUGAGUGCUAAGUGUUGGGAGGUUUCCGCCUCUCAGUGCUGCAGCUAACGCAUUAAGCACUCCGCCUGGGGAGUACGACCGCAAGGUUGAAACUCAAAGGAAUUGACGGGGGCCCGCACAAGCGGUGGAGCAUGUGGUUUAAUUCGAAGCAACGCGAAGAACCUUACCAGGUCUUGACAUCUAGUGCCAUUUGUAGAGAUACAAAGUUCCCUUCGGGGACGCUAAGACAGGUGGUGCAUGGCUGUCGUCAGCUCGUGUCGUGAGAUGUUGGGUUAAGUCCCGCAACGAGCGCAACCCUUGUUAUUAGUUGCCAGCAUUAAGUUGGGCACUCUAAUGAGACUGCCGGUGACAAACCGGAGGAAGGUGGGGAUGACGUCAAGUCAUCAUGCCCCUUAUGACCUGGGCUACACACGUGCUACAAUGGGCAGUACAACGA